rnacentral:rRNA from 1 species
AUUGAACGCUGGCGGCAUGCCUUACACAUGCAAGUCGAACGGUAACGGGCCUUCGGGUGCCGUCGCGUGGCGCACGGGUGAGUAAUACAUCGGAACGUGCCCGAUCGUGGGGGAUAACGAGGCGAAAGCUUUGCUAAUACCGCAUACGAGCUACGGCGGAAAGCAGGGGGCCGCAAGGCCCUGCGCUGACCGAGCCGCCGAUGGCAGAUUAUGUAGUUGGUGGGAUAAAAGCGUUCUAAGCCGACGAUCUGUAGCAGGUGUGAGAGGAUGGAUAGCCAAACUGGGAUUGAGACACGGCCCAGACUCCUACGGGAGGCAGCAGUGGGGAAUUUUGGGCAAUGGGCGCAAGCCUGAUCCAGCCAUGCCGCGUGCAGGAUGAAGGCCUUCGGGUUGUAAACUGCUUUUGUACGGAACGAAAAGCCUUCUUUUAAUACAGGAGGGUCAUGACGGUACCGUAAGAAUAAGCACCGGCUAACUACGUG